rnacentral:rRNA from 1 species
GAUGAACGCUGGCGGCGUGCCUAAUACAUGCAAGUCGAGCGAACGGACGAGAAGCUUGCUUUUCUGAUGUUAGCGGCGGGCGGGUGAGUAACACGUGGAUAACCUACCUAUAAGACUGGGAUAACUUCGGGAAACCGGAGCUAAUACCGGAUAAUAUUUUGAACCGCGUUGUUCAAAAGUGAAAUACGGUCUUGCUGUCACUUCUAGCUGGAUCCCCGCUGCAUUAGCUAGUUGGUAAGGUAACGGCCUAUCACGGCAAGGAUGCAUAGCCGACCUGAUGGACGGAUCGGCCACACGGGAAGUGGAACGGGGUCCAUGGUACUACGGUAGGGAGCAGAAGGGAAUGGUCGGCAAUGGGCGAAAGCCUGACGGAGCAGCGCCGCGCGAGAGAUGAAGGCCUUCGGAUCGUAAAACUCGGCUACGGGGUGAAAACCGAUGUGUCAGUUAACGUGCAGAUAGUGACGGUACCUAAUAAGAAAGCCCCGGCUAACUACGUG